AGCGAACGCUGGCGGCAGGCCUAACACAUGCAAGUCGAACGAACCUUUCGGGGUUAGUGGCGGACGGGGGAGUAACACGUGGGAACGUGCCUUUAGGUUCGGAAUAACUCAGGGAAACUUGUGCUAAUACAGAAUGUGCCAUUCGGGGGAAAGAUUUAUUGCCCUUAGAGCGGCCCGCGUCUGAUUAGCUAGUUGGUUGAGGUAAUGGCUCACCAAGGCGACGAUCAGUAGCUGGUCUGAGAGGAUGAUCAGCCACAUUGGGACUGAGACACGGCCCAAACUCCUACGGGAGGCAGCAGUGGGGAAUCUUGCGCAAUGGGCGAAAGCCUGACGCAGCCAUGCCGCGUGAAUGAUGAAGGUCUUAGGAUUGUAAAAUUCUUUCACCGGGGACGAUAAUGACGGUACCCGGAGAAGAAGCCCCGGCUAACUUCGUG
rnacentral:rRNA from 1 species